rnacentral:rRNA from 1 species
UGGGGAAUAUUGCACAAUGGGCGAAAGCCUGAUGCAGCGACGCCGCGUGAGUGAAGAAGUAUUUCGGUAUGUAAAGCUCUAGCAGCAGGGAAGAAAAUGACGGUACCUGACUAAGAAGCCCCGGCUAACUACGUGCCAGCAGCCGCGGUAAUACGUAGGGGGCAAGCGUUAUCCGGAUUUACUGGGUGUAAAGGGAGCGUAGACGGCGAAGCAAGUCUGAAGUGAAAACCCAGGGCUCAACCCUGGGACUGCUUUGGAAACUGUUUUGCUAGAGUGUCGGAGAGGUAAGUGGAAUUCCUAGUGUAGCGGUGAAAUGCGUAGAUAUUAGGAGGAACACCAGUGGCGAAGGCGGCUUACUGGACGAUAACUGACGUUGAGGCUCGAAAGCGUGGGGAGCAAACAGG